GAACGCACCAGUGCUCCACCCUAACUUCAAAAAACAGUCUGCUAAAACUUCUCCCAGUUUCUAUUCGCGAGAAUCCCAAAAUGAAGGAAAUGAAAUUUGAUUUCUCUAUCUUCAACUUUCUCUCUCCCUAAAUCUGCAAUUUAGAAGCUCUAAUUUAGUUUUCUCAAUCCCUCUCCAUCUUCAAUUUCGCUAGUCAUAAACCCUAAUAUUAUGCAUUUUGGUUCGCCUUGAAAUUUGGUAGAGUUUGCCUGAAAUUUUGUUGAGGUCGCCUGAAAUUCGGUUGAGGUCGCCUGAAAUUCGGUCCAAUAGCACCUAUCUGAAGUUCCCCUGAAGUUCGUCUGUAGAGAAAAUGAAGAAGAAGAAGGAAUAGGGCGUCGGAAACUAUUUUUGAGUGCUCUCCUUCUGGUCCUUGCGUUCCCUGUCAGUACUCUGAGAAGG